CCUACGGGUGGCAGCAGUGGGGAAUAUUGCACAAUGGGCGCAAGCCUGAUGCAGCCAUGCCGCGUGUGUGAAGAAGGCCUUCGGGUUGUAAAGCACUUUCAGCGGGGAGGAAGGCGUUAAGGUUAAUAACCUUGUCGAUUGACGUUACCCGCAGAAGAAGCACCGGCUAACCCCGUGCCAGCAGCCGCGGUAAUACGGAGGGUGCAAGCGUUAAUCGGAGUUACUGGGCGUAAAGCGCACGCAGGCGGUCUGUCAAGUCGGAUGUGAAAUCCCCGGGCUCAACCUGGGAACUGCAUUCGAAACUGGCGGGCUAGAGUCUUGUAGAGGGGGGUAGAAUUCCAGGUGUAGCGGGGAAAUGCGUAGAGAGCUGUGGGAAUACCGGUGGCGAAGGCGGCCCCCUGGACAAAGACUGACGCUCAGGUGCGAAAGCGUGUGGAGCAAACAGGAUUAGAUACCCUCGUAGUC
rnacentral:rRNA from 1 species